UUCCAGUGAAGAGAACUCACCUGUCUGACCUGUCCCAGUCCCAGUUCCUAUCAAGGUGAUCUCACUAGGACAGCCGUGGGUGAAAGAGAAAAUUUAUCCCAAAAGAAACUGAGAAAC